GGUAGGGAAGGGAAGUCGCAACCUAAGCGCGGCGCUCCGCGGAGCCGGGCGGGGCGGCCCAGGCGGCGGGGGCGGGUCCGCGUCCGGAGGCCGCGCCUCCCUCCCUGAAGAUGGCUGAAGAGGCCUAGGGCCGGGCUCCGCGAUGCUGACAACGUCCCCUGGGCUGCGCCCGAGACUGGAGACGCGGGUCACCUGCCGCCGUGCCGCCUGGUCUCAGCAGUCCGCGGGGACGCGCGCUACCAAGAGUGGAGAAUCCGAGUGGGGUGGGCCUAGUCCCGGGGCUGGGAAGAGAUAGUCGCAUGGACUGGGCGCCAAGAAGCCUGCCGAUCGCGCGCGCCCCACGGCCGCCCUGGGGAUGCAGAGGGGUGGCGUGAGAUGCUCGCGGAGCUGCGGCUGGUUCGGAGUGGAUGGGCAGAGUUCCCCUCUGAAAUUUCAUGAAGAUCCGUCUCCCACUCUCCACCGAAGUACUCAACGGCCAGCACACGCAUACAAUUUUGAUGCAGUUUUUUGUUUUUUGUUUUGCUUUUUUAGCUCACCAGAAACUCAGAGAGUAAAGAAAUACUGUUAAAGGAAGUUCCUAAACUAGGCAGACAGUACAGCCCUGUGUGGUUUUCUCGGUGCAAGGGUUAGAAAAAAAACCGAUACCAAGCAAGGAAGGAGGCCAGCCAAGUUCAUUGGUCAACAGUGUGCCACUACAGGGACUGAGACCAGAGCCUGUUGAUUCUUGCCUAAGCUGGCACGCCAGUGAGUCCUGAGACAGAUUUGAAAGAGGUCUCUCUGCUUCCCAAGCCUGGCCUUUUCUUUUAACUCACAGCACAUCUGUAAGAUAAAAUAUUACUUUUGCAAAUUACAAAUGUUCUCACCCCAAGAUUCUGGAACAAACUACAAGGUAGGAAUGCCUUGAUCUAAUUAAAACAUUUGCUAACUGCUGAUUUUAGGGGAAAACUGUCUUUAGCAGCAUCUGUAUGUGUAAAACAUGUAGGUCCAUCUAUAAUUCACUGAUGUCUCUACAUUUGGUCACUGACUCUCUUCUCACAGGGAAAGAGGUUUCAAACCAGAUCCUCUUAGGUCUCUGCACUGAGACCCAGCCAAAGCUAACAUCGUUCCAUAGCCUUCAGCAAAGGCUUGAGGAUGAAAAGUAAUGGCUGAUGUGGAAUAAAACAUUUGACAUGCACUUCUGUGGUUUGGUUGGUUCUGUCCAAAGUUAUUUAAAAAUAUGAGCCCAACUAGACACUGUUUUCCCCUGCCUCACUGCUCUGGUGAUAAUUGCAUCGCUACCAUCACACCUCUGACCAAGCCAUCCUAAUUUGUCAUGCCCAGUUUUUAUCCUGUCAUCCUUUCUAAUCCACUCUCCAGCUGGGAUGACUUCCUAACAUAAAUCUGACGAUGUCACCCUACCCUUACAGCACUUAAUCACUCUCCAUUUGCCUUGGGAUGCAGCCUGACAUACUAGCUGACUUCCAUGACCCCAGAGACCCGGCCUUUCCCUCUCAGGCCUCAUCUCUCUCCACUCCUACCUUGCCCACACACUCAGCUUCUUGUGUUUCCAUGAAUGCACAAUCUUCUCUCUUUUGUUUUGUUUUUGAGACAGGGUCUCUCUCUGUCACCCAGGCUGGAGUGCAAUGGUGCAAUCACAG